GGUGCGGUACCCAAGCGGUAAGGGAGCAGUCUGCAAAACUGUUAUUCGCCGGUUCGAGUCCGGCCCGCACCU
rnacentral:tRNA from 1 species